rnacentral:rRNA from 1 species
AACGAACGCUGGCGGCAUGCCUAACACAUGCAAGUCGAACGAGACCUUCGGGUCUAGUGGCGCAUGGGUGCGUAACGCGGGGGAACCUGCCCUUAGGUUCGGAAUAACUCCCCGAAAGGGGUGCUAAUACCGGAUAAUGUCUUCGGACCAAAGAUUUAUCGCCUUUGGAUGGGCCCGCGUUGGAUUAGCUAGUUGUUAGGGUAAAAGCCUACCAAGGGGACGAUCCAUAGCUGGUCAGAGAGGAUGAUCAGCCACACUGGGACUGGGACACGGCCCAGACUCCUACGGGAGGCAGCAGUGGGGAAUAUUGGACAAUGGGCGAAAGCAUGAUCCAGCAAUGCCGGGUGAGUGAUGAAGGCCUUAGGGUUGUAAAGCUCUUUUACCCGGGAUGAUAAUGACGGUACCGAAAGAAUAAGCUCCGGCUAACUCCGUG